CCAAUAACCCCUUUUGAUUGAGCUGAGUAGUAGCCAAGACAUAGCAAUUCAAAUCCUGGAUGAUUUGAAUAGUAAAAUUCGGGCCAAGGAUGGAACGUAUUUUACGGUGCGUUAAGUGACUUGGCGGAUACGAAGGGAGUUGAGC
rfam:Kangiella koreensis DSM 16069, complete genome.